rnacentral:rRNA from 1 species
UACGAAGGGGGCUAGCGUUGCUCGGAAUCACUGGGCGUAAAGGGUGCGUAGGCGGGUCUUUAAGUCAGGGGUGAAAUCCUGGAGCUCAACUCCAGAACUGCCUUUGAUACUGAAGAUCUUGAGUCCGGGAGAGGUGAGUGGAACUGCGAGUGUAGAGGUGAAAUUCGUAGAUAUUCGCAAGAACACCAGUGGCGAAGGCGGCUCACUGGCCCGGUACUGACGCUGAGGUGGCGAAAGCGUGGGGAGCAAACAGG